AAACUUUCAACAACGGAUCUCUUGGUUCUCGCAUCGAUGAAGAGCGCAGCGAAAUGCGAUACCUAGUGUGAAUUGCAGCCAUCGUGAAUCAUCGAGUUCUUGAACGCCACAUUGCGCCCUCCGGCAUUCCGGGGGGCAUGCCUGUUUGAGCGUCGUUU
rnacentral:rRNA from 1 species